AGAGUUUGAUCCUGGCUCAGAACGAACGCUGGCAGCAGGCUUAACACAUGCAAGUCGAACGCUCACCUUCGGGUGGGAGUGGCAGACGGGUGAGUAACGCGUGGGAACGUACCCUUCAGUUCGGAAUAACCCAGGGAAACUUGGGCUAAUACCGGAUACGUCCGUAAGGAGAAAGAUUUAUCGCUGAAGGAUCGGCCCGCGUCGGAUUAGCUAGUUGGUGGGGUAACGGCCCACCAAGGCGACGAUCCGUAGCUGGUCUGAGAGGAUGAUCAGCCACACUGGGACUGAGACACGGCCCAGACUCCUACGGGAGGCAGCAGUGGGGAAUAUUGGUCAAUGGGCGCAAGCCUGAACCAGCCAUGCCGCGUGAGUGAAGAAGGCCUUAGGGUUGUAAAGCUCUUUCAGCGGGGACGAUAAUGACGGUACCCGCAGAAGAAGCCCCGGCUAACUUCGUGCCAGCAGCCGCGGUAAUACGAAGGGGGCUAGCGUUGUUCGGAAUUACUGGGCGUAAAGCGCGCGUAGGCGGAUAUUUAAGUCAGGGGUGAAAUCCCAGGGCUCAACCCUGGAACUGCCUUUGAUACUGGAUGUCUGGAGUUCGGGAGAGGUGAGUGGAAUUCCGAGUGUAGAGGUGAAAUUCGUAGAUAUUCGGAGGAACACCAGAAGCGAAGGCGGCUCACUGGCCCGAUACUGACGCUGAGGCGCGAAAGCGUGGGGAGCAAACAGGAUUAGAUACCCUAGUAGUCC
rnacentral:rRNA from 1 species